CAGGAAACAAAGCCUGUCUGAAACUCUAAAAUGACAUUUCCAGAAAGCUGAAGAAUGGAUAAAAAUGUAUCUACCAUCUUACAACCCAGAUUUCAUUCCACUGAAAAGAAAAGGGACAGGAAAUUUUGCAUGUCCAUGUCUUGGAAGGUGAAUAGGUGGAAAGUCAAUAGAUGCUUACCAUAUCAGAUGCUUGCAGAGGAUACUGGGGAUAAAGUAGCAGAAAAUUAUGGAAAACAGGGAAGUGGCAGCCAGGACUAUGGAGGGGAAGUGACAAUGACAGUGAGAUGGCGUUAGGUUGGACACCAGAAGGGAAGAAGGCAUUUAAGAGAUCGAAAACAACCUGUAGAGGAACAGUAGGAGCAAAAAGAAAGAUUGCAGAAUGGAUAAACUUGAAUGAGAUCAAGAUGAUAGCAAUAGAACAGAGCGGAUUGGAGAGAGUCUCGGUCCUAUGUGUUUUGGCAUGGAGAGAACUAAGUAAUGUCUAGAUUGUUGGAGAUCGGAUGACCAGGAAUAUGAAUGGAUGUGCUGGAAACUGUACUAAGACCCUUAUGUAUUUGGAUUGAUUUACAUACCAUCAUGAGUUUGCUAUGAAAAACUUGAAAAAAAUCCUCAACUCAUAUUGUAGCUGACAUUAUACAUUUGUACUUAUUUAAAAUAUUUCAAAUGAACAUAUUUUUAGACAUACAAUAUCUAAACUUUGGAGUCCACGUACAUCACAUUGGAUAAUAGGUUAUGAUAUAUGUGUGUGAAAUCUUUUCCUAUGGUAUGCACAUGUUAACACAUUAGUUUAAAUGAUGAUGUUACAGAUGUAUAUCUUAUGACUAUGGAAGAGAAUGUGUUCAGAACAGAAUAUGUGUCUAGAAGAGUUGUUGCCCUUGAAUGUAAUUCAUUAUUUACAUGGGGUUGAAAAAUAAUCCAGCACACAGUAGUACUAAAUGCAUUAUGUUAAAAUACAUUUAUGAAUGGUAUAAGUGAUACUGUCAAUUACUGAUUAAUACACUUUGUGAAAUCAUAUUAUUGUUAUGUUUAAUAAAUUUCAAGGCUGCA